rnacentral:rRNA from 1 species
GAGGCAGCAGUAGGGAAUCUUCCACAAUGGGCGCAAGCCUGAUGGAGCAACACCGCGUGAGUGAAGAAGGGUUUCGGCUCGUAAAGCUCUGUUGUUGGAGAAGAACGUGCGUGAGAGUAACUGUUCACGCAGUGACGGUAUCCAACCAGAAAGUCACGGCUAACUACGUGCCAGCAGCCGCGGUAAUACGUAGGUGGCAAGCGUUAUCCGGAUUUAUUGGGCGUAAAGCGAGCGCAGGCGGUUGCUUAGGUCUGAUGUGAAAGCCUUCGGCUUAACCGAAGAAGUGCAUCGGAAACCGGGCGACUUGAGUGCAGAAGAGGACAGUGGAACUCCAUGUGUAGCGGUGGAAUGCGUAGAUAUAUGGAAGAACACCAGUGGCGAAGGCGGCUGUCUGGUCUGCAACUGACGCUGAGGCUCGAAAGCAUGGGUAGCGAACAGGAUUAGAUACCCUGGUAG